GGAGAUAUAGGUAUCAGCAGCUACUCUGAUUUGACACGUCAAUGUUAUUAUGCAUGUUUACUGUUUUGCGUGAUGAUUGUCUUAAAUAAUUGUUAUGAUGUGAUUUUCUAUGAAAAGCCAUUGUUACACUCACAGACGCUCGCUGCCGACCACGGGCCAUACUUUAAAUAGUCCCCCUACACAACUACUGCCCAUCCUCUAACCACUCCAAACUAAACAAUCUUGAUUGGCUUUUUGGAAGCCACAUUUCCUCGUAACACACUAUCUAUCCUCAUACCUGGGGAGCUACAGUCCGCACUGCACAAUUACGCGCCACCGAGGCACACUCAUUGACUCAACCUUACGGUCCAGGUGACUUAUCCCAGGUGCACACCAGUUACCCAGGUGGCCUAAAACUCCCACCCAGGGUAAACCACCUAAGGAUACCCCCAAAUAACCCACACCCACUGCUGCUGACAACAGAAACACUAGGCAGCAUAUCCCUCUGUGUAUAGUUCUUCGUUCUACACUUCUCUUCUCCCUACCCCGCUCCAUCCCUCA